rnacentral:rRNA from 1 species
GAUGAACGCUAGCUACAGGCUUAACACAUGCAAGUCGAGGGGCAGCACAAGGCAGCAAUGCUGAGGUGGCGACCGGCGCACGGGUGCGUAACGCGUAUCCAACCUUCCCGUUACUCUUGGAUAGCCUUCCGAAAGGGAGAUUAAUACAAGAUGGUGUUGAAAUUCCGCAUGUUAUUUCAACUAAAGAUUUAUCGGUAACGGAUGGGGAUGCGUGACAUUAGAUAGGUGGCGGGGUAACGGCCCACCAUGUCCACGAUGUCUAGGGGUUCUGAGAGGAAGGUCCCCCACACUGGAACUGAGACACGGUCCAGACUCCUACGGGAGGCAGCAGUGAGGAAUAUUGGUCAAUGGCCGGAAGGCUGAACCGGCCAAGUAGCGUGAAGGAUGAAGGUUCUAUGGAUUGUAAACUUCUUUUAUACGGGAAUAAAACCUCCCACGUGUGGGAGCUUGUAUGUACCGUAUGAAUAAGCAUCGGCUAACUCCGUGCCAGCAGCCGCGGUAAGAC